AUUGCUUCUCAGCAUUUUGCCUAAGAUCAAGUGUAGUUAGUGUCUGUUCUUAUCAGUUUAAUAUCUGAUAUGUCCUCUAUCCAAAGACAAUAUAUUAAACUGAUUUUUGGAACUGGGAAAUGGAAUAGGGGCUUGCUCUGUCACUCCACACAUUGACCCAGUAUUUCAGUACUUCCAAAAAUGGUUCACUCCUC
rnacentral:snRNA from 1 species